UACGUAGGGGGCAAGCGUUGUCCGGAAUCAUUGGGCGUAAAGAGCGUGUAGGCGGCCCGAUAAGUCCGCCGUGAAAGUCCAGGGCUCAACCCUGGAAUGCCGGUGGAAACUGUCGGGCUGGAGUCCGGAAGAGGCGAGUGGAAUUCCUGGUGUAGCGGUGAAAUGCGUAGAUAUCAAGAGGAACACCUGAGGUGAAGACGGGUUGCUGGGCUGACACUGACGCUGAGGCGCGAAAGCCAGGGGAGCAAACGGG
rnacentral:rRNA from 1 species